GAGACAGCCAGGGCCAAAGCCCUGCCUGACAGCUCUAGAGUGGACCCCGUGCAAUGUGAAGUCUCUGGGCUCUGGUUUCAGUACUCUAGGCCCUGUGUCUUCCACACCAGCCUUCCCAGAGCUGGGCAAUGAGUCCACCUGGAAUGUGUAACUGCCACGCUCGUCGCUGCACUUAAAGAAUUGGCCUCUGCCUUCCCUGCCAAAGCAAAGAUUCAGAUCAGCAGAUCCAGCAAGGCCAGACAUUGACUGGGAAUGGUCCCCUCAAGUCAGGACCAGCGGUGCCUCCUCUUGGGUAUAUAUGUGCUGGCAAAGGAGUGUGUGCAUGAGGGCAGGUCCCACAGAUCUAGAGGAACACGCUGGAUUCAGAGUCCCUUGUGAGCAGCCACACCAGAGCUGCGUGAGAUGGAUUCUGACCACCUCGCUGUGGAUUGGCGCAGCUCAGGAAGCAGUGCAGCUUGACACAGAGCUUGGGAAGCACACCCCCAUUGAUGGUGCUUGCUUUGCAAACAUCCCUGAUUGCUGCGGCCUCUACAAUCCUCUGAAUGACGAACAACUUCAUGGCCUCGUCCUUGGGCACACACCGGUCAACAUCACUGCACAAGGAAGGACCAAGGCCCCAGAGCCUCGUUAAUCUGUUGUCAGAGUCCCUGAUGGCAUGCUAGGUAUUUUUACAAUUGUUCUAAAAUCCCAUUAUCUCCACCGUCCGGGUUGCACAGGGGCCGCCAUUGGCUGAAUACGUGACCGACCACCAAUGAUUCCCUCCAGGGAACGCCAGGCAGAGCUCCCUGGGCUGCUGGCCAUCAUCCAAACAUGCUCCUCUCCGUGGAAAAGAAGUGAUGUCAUACACGGAAGGGGUGGUCUCCACGCACAGGAUACCUGUAAACACCGAAGCAUGUUUCAAAGAAAAACAAAAGUCAAAUUACAGAGCUGC